UCCCAGGUGGUCCAGUGGUUAGGACUCUGGACUUUCACUGUAGAGGGCCCAAGUUCUAUCCCUGGUAAGGGAA
rnacentral:tRNA from 1 species